rnacentral:miRNA from 1 species
CACUUCAAGAAGUGCCAUGCA